GAUGAACGCUAGCGGCAGGCUUAACACAUGCAAGUCGAGGGGUAACAGGGGAGCUUGCUUCCGCUGACGACCGGCGCACGGGUGAGUAUCGCGUAUAGAACCUACCUUUUACAGGGGAAUAGCCCAGAGAAAUUUGGAUUAAUGCCCCAUAGUAUUAUUGAAUGGCAUCGUUUAAUAAUUAAACAUUUAUGGGUAAAGAUGGCUAUGCGUUCUAUUAGCUAGAUGGUAAGGUAACGGCUUACCAUGGCAACGAUAGAUAGGGGUCCUGAGAGGGAGAUCCCCACACUGGUACUGAGACACGGACCAGACUCCUACGGGAGGCAGCAGUGAGGAAUAUCGGACAAUGGAGGCAACUCUGAUCCAGCCAUGCCGCGUGCAGGAAGACGGCCCUAUGGGUUGUAAACUGCUUUUAUACAGGAAGAAACCUUUCCACGUGUGGAGAGCUGACGGUACUGUAAGAAUAAGCACCGGCUAACUCCGUG
rnacentral:rRNA from 1 species